rnacentral:rRNA from 1 species
UGGGGAAUAUUGCACAAUGGAGGAAACUCUGAUGCAGCGACGCCGCGUGAGGGAAGAAGGUCUUCGGAUUGUAAACCUCUGUUGUCAGGGACGAUAAUGACGGUACCUGACGAGGAAGCCACGGCUAACUACGUGCC